CAGUAGCCACGGGAAUACGUAGGGGGCAAGCGUUAUCCGGAAUUACUGGGUGUAAAGGGAGCGUAGACGGUUAAACAAGUCUGAAGUGAAAUGCCGGGGCUCAACCCCGGAGCUGCUUUGGGAACUGUAGAACUGGAGUGUCGGAGGGGUAAGCGGAAUUCCCAGUGUAGCGGUGAAAUGCGUAGAUAUUGGGAGGAACACCGGCGGCGAAGGCGGCUUACUGGACGACAACUGACGUUGAGGCUCGAAGGCGUGGGUAGCAAACAGGAUUAGAUACCCCCGUAGUCCCUGUCUCUUAUAC
rnacentral:rRNA from 1 species